rnacentral:misc_RNA from 1 species
GAACGCACAUUGCGCCCCUUGGUAUUCCGGGGGGCAUGCCUGUUCGAGCGUCAUUAUAACCCUCAAGCCUAGCUUGGUGUUGGAGCAUGCUACCUAGCAGCUCUUAAAAUCAGUGGCAGUGCCCUUCGGCUCUAAGCGUAGUAACUUCUCUCGCUAUGGAAACCGGGUGGCAUGCGCCAAAACCCCCAACUUUCUAAGGUUGACCUCGGAUCAGGUAGGGAUACCCGCUGAACUUAAG